rnacentral:rRNA from 1 species
AUUGAACGCUGGCGGCAUGCCUUACACAUGCAAGUCGAACGGCAGCACGGACUUCGGUCUGGUGGCGAGUGGCGAACGGGUGAGUAAUAUAUCGGAACAUACCCUAGAGUGGGGGAUAACGUAGCGAAAGUUACGCUAAUACCGCAUACGAACUAAGGUUGAAAGUGGGGGAUCGCAAGACCUCAUGCUCAUGGAGUGGCCGAUAUCUGAUUAGCUAGUUGGUGAGGUAAAGGCUCACCAAGGCGACGAUCAGUAGCUGGUUUGAGAGAACGACCAG